rnacentral:rRNA from 1 species
AAGCGGUGGAGUAUGUGGUUUAAUUCGAUGCAACGCGAAGAACUUACCUGGUCUUGACAUCCCGGAGACCCUUAGGAAACUAGGGGGUGCUUCCAUCUGGAAGAAUCUGGAGACAGGUGCUGCAUGGCUGUCGUCAGCUCGUGUCGUGAGAUGUUGGGUUAAGUCCCGCAACGAGCGCAACCCUUGCCUUUAGUUGCCAGCAGUUCGGCUGGGCACUCUAAAGGGACUGCCGGUGUUAAACCGGAGGAAGGUGGGGAUGACGUCAAGUCCUCAUGGCCUUUAUGACCAGGGCUACACACGUACUACAAUGGCCGAUACAAAGGGCAGCGACACUGCGAGGUGAAGCCAAUCCCGUAAAAUCGGUCUCAGUCCGGAUUGGAGUCUGCAACUCGACUCCAUGAAGUUGGAAUCGCUAGUAAUCGUGGAUCAGCAUGCCACGGUGAAUACGUUCCCGGGCCUU